UCCAGUUGAUGCUUUAGAUCGCACAAUGUAACAUUGACGUUGAUCAUUUGGUUUUUCCUUGUUGUAGUAAACUGCAAUAGGUAAGUGUUCCGGUUUUUAAAAAAAUAGGUAUGUGUUCCUUUCCACCGGGUAAAUAUCAUUUUUUUGUGUUGUGAAUGAAAAUUGAACCAAACACCCCUAUUGAUAUAGGUUUUGGUGUGUUUUCAACUACACAAAUUGUCGGUGCGUUUUGGUCGACAAAUUACAUGUUUGACUGGCUUGGUUCACAUGUUAAGUAGCAAACCAGGUUUGCAUAUUACGUAGCGAACCUGGUUCGCAUCCAGUGAACGGUAUAGUUCUGUUUUCAAUACAUUUUAUCACCACAUAUAAUUAUCCAUACCUUUAAUCCAUAAUUAAACGUAAAAAUUAUCCAAUCCAUCAAAUGUUGUUUUCGGAUUUUUAAAAACCGUUAAAAAUAAUUUUUAGUCACCAAAGAGAUUAUUGGGUUGAGUCGCGGACUAGUUCGUUCUCUUUACGAUGUUUCGUGGCAAUGCCCAAAAUUUUGCAAGCAGACUAUUAACCAGGAUAAAAUAGCUCAGUUACAAUUCUUGAAUACACAUUCUUGAAUGGUACUACAAUACCACUCGAAUUAAUGCUACGACAUCAAUCUAUAAUUCAUUGGUACUACAAUGCCACUCAAAUUGAUGAUACGACAUCAAUCUAUGAAUCAACGGUACUAUGAUACCACACUAUGAUUUGGUGGUACUACAAUGCCACCCGUAUUGAUACUAUAAUAUCAAUCAAUAAUGACACUGAGACCAUUACAAUAUGGUAUUAAGACCAUUCAUGAACUAUGGUACUAUGACGAUUCUUUAAUUGUAGGAACAAGUGAUACUUUGAUUGUUGAAUAUUUUGGAUUCACUUUAAUUAAUUUAUUAAAAUACAAUUAAAUGUGUAUAAAAUCAAAUAUAUUAUCUUGUCAUUAUUAUAAGGCUUAAUUUUGAACGGGUCGUGAUGGGUUGGGUCGUUCUUUCUAGUCAGCCUAUUGAGAGGUCCAUGUCUCCACUAAUGAGUAUAUAUUCUAGCCAUCCCAUUAAGCUAGAUGAUAUUAAUAAAAACAUAACAGCAUAAUGACUCAUCAAUGAGAGGUAGAAGCACCGUCUCAACCCUCUCUCAGUUUCAAUCAAUGAAGGAUUCAUCCGCUGUCAUUCCAGGUACACCGUUCCCAUAUAUUCUUAUUUACAAUAUGAUAUACUUCAUAUCUACAAUAUAUAAAUAUUAAUCAAAUUCUUUCAUUGAUCACUCUUAAAAUAAAUUAAUACUAAUAUAAAAACUAGUAUCACACAACCCAUAUAAAUAAAUUUCAAUAUUCUGAAAAAAUAAGAACAAAAUUUAAUGCAAAUCUUCAAGUUUGCAUUACCAAAUCAAGAAACCAAUUAUGGUUAACUUGUUAAUUCUAAUUUUAAUAUUAAUAUAGCACAAUGUCAUAAGAGGGUCGUUAAACUCCUCACAGAUAUAUGUAAAGACAGUUUUCCAUCAAUAAUAGAUUCAUUUCUAUAUCAUGUUCAUAUAUAUCAGUUUAUAUAAUAAGUUUUCAUGAUAUAGCAUCACUAUAUAAUAUAAUAUGAGGUAAAUAUAAAAUAUUAACUAACCUCUAAAUUGAUCAUGCGAUGAAUUGCAGUAGGGCAGGUAUAGGAAAACCAAGGUGCUAGAGAAUUCUAAUUAUACAUGUAAGCUCUACCAAAGCUAAUUGGAAAAAUCAAUUCAACAAGUACCCUUUAUGCAUACCACCAAUGCGAAAUGAAUUUUUUCAUACACAGUGGAUGAAGACAAAAUUUCCAAUAAGGAAAAAUUUGUAAUCAAUUGUAUUAUUAUUAUUAUUAUUAUUUUAUUUUUUUUACACAAAAAGAAAUUUCUCAAAAAAUAUAACGUAGAAAAGAAAGAAAGGAAUUUACGAACGAAAAAAAAAUACAUAUAUGUGUAUUAGUGGUAAUUCACUUCACACUCGUUCGUAGUUCGUACCCCAUUCAACAUUCCGUCAGGAGACUUGGUGGCAAUUCACUUCACUCUUCAUCGCCGUCGACCUAUAUUCCUUUGGAAAUUACACAAGAAACGAUCUUAUGUAGACUCCCGGUCAAGUCUCUCCAACAUUUCCGCUGUGUAUGCAAGUCAUGGGAUUCUCUAAUCUCAAAGGAUCUCAAAUUCGCCAAGAAACACCUUCGCAUGUCUCCCAACCGCCAAAACCUCGUUACAACCACGUGGAGGGAGGCUGAAAAGUUAACUGUAAUGUCCUCUCCAUUCAACUCUCUUAAUCUCCACUCUAAUUUCGACUCUAAAUU
rnacentral:lncRNA from 1 species